rfam:TPA: Bos taurus chromosome 28, whole genome shotgun sequence.
UUCCUGAUGGCUCAGAGGGUAAAGAAUCUGUCUACAAUGCAGGAGACCCAGGUUCAAUCUCUAGGUCAGGAAG